rnacentral:rRNA from 1 species
AGUGAACGCUGGCGGUAGGCCUAACACAUGCAAGUCGAACGGCAGCACAGUAAGAGCUUGCUCUUACGGGUGGCGAGUGGCGGACGGGUGAGGAAUACAUCGGAAUCUACUUUUUCGUGGGGGAUAACGUAGGGAAACUUACGCUAAUACCGCAUACGACCUACGGGUGAAAGCAGGGGAUCUUCGGACCUUGCGCGAUUGAAUGAGCCGAUGUCGGAUUAGCUAGUUGGCGGGGUAAAGGCCCACCAAGGUGACGAUCCGUAGCUGGUCUGAGAGGAUGAUCAGCCACACUGGAACUGAGACACGGUCCAGACUCCUACGGGAGGCAGCAGUGGGGAAUAUUGGACAAUGGGCGCAAGCCUGAUCCAGCCAUACCGUGUGGGUGAAGAAGGCCUUCGGGUUGUAAAGCCCUUUUGUUGGGAAAGAAAAGCAGCGGGUUAAUACCCCGCUGUUCUGACGGUACCCAAAGAAUAAGCACCGGCUAACUUCGUG